AACGGUCUUCUGAGACCCCAAUGACCACGUCGGAUUGAGUUGCCUUACCAAUGUCGAGCUGGACCGAUAUACGUGGAAAGUCAAUUCCAGGACUCCCGCCUCCAUCUUUUCUCACUUUCUCGCCACAUUUUCUCAAGUCUUCUGUGUGUUGUCGUUGCUGAAUUCUUCGCCCAGGCAGGGAGCGGAUUGUGGUGGAGAUCAGAUCGGCAAUCAUGGGCUACAACAGCACCGCCGUGGAGCAGAUCCGCGAGAAUAAGCCGGACCAAGUGCAGGAGCAUCUGGUAAAUUUGAUCUCUUACCUCAAGGCUGUGUCUCGGUUUCGAGUGAGAUGGUCAGAUUUAGGGCUGUGGCUGAGAUUCUGGCCUGCACUUACUUUAUUACAAUGACCGUGGAGUCGGUAUGGGGUUUUGAAAUGAUGGAUCUGAAGAUCAGGUUGAUGAGGAGCAAAAUUAGAGACGGACAGCAUCAAAUUCAAGGUGGAAACUAUUCUUGUGUCUCUGUGUUGUUUGCUCUACGGCUUUUGACAAUGGGUUUCACGGUCAUUAUUCAGCAACAUGAUCGCCGUUUUGUUCCAGCUCGAAUUGAAGUGUUCUUGUACUUCUGUCCGCUUAAGGAGAGAAAUGGGCUGCAGUUAUUAAUUUCGUCGUUCGAAAUUUGUGUCUCAUUUCUUUUGCUUGGAACAUCUUGGUCUCACAUAGCUGUGUCUCUUCAGGUUCUCGUGGAAAUUAGAGUUUCGUGAUCCGAUCUACUGUAGUCAGACCCUCGUGUACGUGUGGUGCCAGGAUAGUUGUCCUUGAAUGUGUUAUAAUCAUGUUAAGUGACUGUUUUUUUUUUUUUUUUUUUUUUUUUUUUUGUUGAGACAUCCCUAUAUGUAUUUUUCUUUGUGAGAGUUUUCAUUGCAUGAUUUUUGUCAAUUUCAGUCUCCAGGGUUUGUUUUAUUGAUGCAAAAUAGAAUGUUUUACAAUCUAGCCGUUAGCAAAAAAAUUCCCUUUUUGUUCAUGAGAGAGUUUCAUCAAUCUUUUACUUCUGCGAAUCCUUUUAAGAGUGCUUAGUCAAUAAUAUACUAAUGUAUGAAUCAGUAGGAGAAGUUAUACUUACUAUUUUCUGCCUGCUGGCCAGUAUUUUGGUGUUCGUGUUGCCUUUCAAAUCAACAAAGUUCGGGCGACUAAAGUAUCGUGAUUUGUGGUUGCAGGAAGGGACAGAAGAAGCUGACGAACAGGAAGAGAAGUUGAAGAUCACAGUAAAUUCUACUGCUCUUGAAUGCCCUGAAUGAUGUAUAAGCGAAGAGAAUCCGCUCUUUCAAUUAUUAUGGAUGAUGUUUCUGGGUGCCCUGCUACUGUUCAUAUUCAAUUGCACUUCAAUCUUAAUUGGGAGCCAUAUGGAAUUUAUCAGGGUAGAUGACAUCAAGACAGCUCCGAUGGAUUUUCGAUUCCCAACCGAAAAUAGCACUCCAAGAUAGCUAUUCAAUCGCCGUGAGUUGGCACGAUUGAAUAGCUAUCUUGAAGGACCACUGUCUUUUUCUUUUCUAAAAAUCUUCUUGCAGGUGUUGGAUAGAGACAAUUUGGAUGAAAUAUUGAGCAAUCGAGGAAGGUUGGGUCCGGAAGCUUGACAAACCCUCCUCUUUUCUUCUGAGCAAAUGUAUGCUUCUCCUGUCCGUAUGAUCCUUUGCCAGCCUGAGAGUAUUGUAAUUGGAAUCUGGGGUCACCAGAUGUAGUGAUCUGAAACUCGUCCUAACUUACAGAGGCUUGGUAGUCUUGUUAAGGAUGAACUGUUUUCUAAUGGCAUGGUUUCAACCAUUUGGUCACUACGCAUCAUUUUAUUUAUUUUGCCAACAUGGUUGUGUUCAUUCCCAUAACUUGUGAAUGAAAGGUGUGAUGAUGGUGAUGUAACAGGUACUUCGCCCCCCUAGAACACAAACAACCCUUAUUGGAGGACUUGAUGUAAAGCCGAAGCCAGCCCGCACGUGCAUGACAGGUAGGUUGUCUUGGUCACUCUGCUACUCAGCAUGCACACAACUGUGCGAUACUCAGUAGAUUGUACAGCUUGCUCAAUUCUCCUUUUUCCAUAUUAUAGAUCAAUUAUUAUAGUUGCCUCCCCUUUCACAGUGGGCACCAAGAUGCAUUCUUACAACCAUGAUGCAAUGUUUCUGUUAAUCCUUCGCGUAAGUUUUUGAGACUUAGUACCCAGUGGGAAACAUUGGCAACUUGGCAUAAUGUAAAGUUCAAUAAAAAGUUUCAUCUUUUAUUGCUGCCACUGGGCGCCAUAGCAUGAGUAAUAACAUUAUUGAAGGCUUAGUGUAGAUCCAUCCAAGAUUCAGCGUGGUCUUUUGUGGCAUCAGUGGCUGAUGGAAUGAAAAAAAAGCUUUUAGAGCAUGGUGUAUUGAAGGACUGAAAUAGUUUGACGUACCUUUCUAAAAACACGUCCUCACAUCACAUGGAUAGCAAUACUGUUUCUACUAAUUUUAUGCUACUAAUUUGAGGCGAAAAAUUAGAGGCAUCAAUUUGAGGCUAUAUUGAAGGCUUAGUUUUUCGCCUCAAAUUAGUCUUCAAUUAUACUACCAAUUUGAUGCUAAAUAUUCCUUUAAUUUCAUGCCUGUCAAAUUUCGAUUUGUGAUCAGAUGUGUGGUAUGCAUGCUGUGCACUGCUUGAGUUGUGUUCCAUCUCUAUUUGAUUGCUUCUCAAAUAGUUGCAUCUCAUGGGACGCAAAAUCUGAGCGGUUACAACCGUAAUCUUAUUCAUGUAGAAUGAGCUAAAUACCGAUACCCACUUCUAAUGAUCGAUUGUAACAAGCACCUGCUAAUCAGAAAUUAUCUGUGCUGUAUCAAUCCAGCGCUACGGUGUCAUCGAUGUUGCAAAUUACAGCUGUGCGCAGCGGAAAAAAAAUCUAUUGUAAACGUCACGGAC
rnacentral:lncRNA from 1 species